rnacentral:tRNA from 1 species
UCCCUAGUAGCAGAGGUGGUAAAGCAUCUGCUUGCAAUGCAGGAGACCUGGGUUCGAUCCCUGGGUCAGGAA